GCGGGUGUUGUAUAUAUUGUUUUGUGCCUGGCUUUCAGCAUCAUCCUCAGAAACGCAUACAUACAAGUAAAAUGAUUGAGCUCUAUCUAUGGAUUCCAUAUCUCCUUCAACCAACUCAGCUUCUGAAUUUGAUAGUUCACAAGCUGCUCCUGGUGCCAUAGCGUCCCUGCACAAUUGAAAGUUGACAGAUAUAUAAGUUUCAAUUCUUACAGGUAACUGGAAUAUGAAUUCAUUACUAAUAGCGUUUACCAGUGGAGUGUCAACUUCAACAAAUAUGGAGCUUAGAUUGAACUCCCAGUCAAGUUCACAUAUACGAGGUAAUUCUCUCUCAUCAGCUUUAACUCUGUCCCUCGUUAGCUUUUGAAUCAUUUCCUUCACGGGCAUUUCACCUUCACCGUAUUUCUUAAUCUCUUCCUCGAAAUUUAACCGCAAGCGCUGAGCCUGCAGGACAUAAAGCCAGUAACCAGAUACAUGAGUGUUGGAUCGAUGACAGAAACAACCAUGUAAUUAACAUAAUGAGUAAGGUUGGUUCAAUUCAAACCAACCUUGUGCCAGGGUGAGUCAAGCUUUGCAUUUGAUAGCACAUGAAUCCCUGGAGAAACUUCUUGAACAAGAAUUGCUUCUCCUUUCGGCCUGUUGGAGAGGUAAAUCAUGGUUUUGGAAGGAAUGUCUGCCAAAACCAAGUUAAACCCGUUAUACCGAUGCGCCUCCUUGGUCAAUUCUUGUGCAAAUUCCUUUGGAGUCUUGGUGCUCUGCCAUUGAUUUAUUUGCACAACACAUGAACAGAAACUAACACAAGAACAACAAAUGGUAAAAAGUAGCAGGUAAAAAGAACGAAAACUGUACCUUUAAGAAGAGCACAGGUAGGUCUCCGCGGCUCUUUGCCUCCGGGUCGGUAUCCAGCUCGAGUACAUUUGAUAGGAAAGCGAGUCUCCCUCCUCUUGAACAGGCCAACCAUGUCCCUCCUGCAACCUCAUCUCGCCCGCCUAGUAUCUCGCAACCUUCCCACCAUCUGACUGGUUUUGUAGGCCUUUAUAUACGUACAAAUUAAUACAUACAUAUAUGAAGAUUAGAUAAUAAACAACCCCAUUAACUUAAUAAAUCAAAUAAAAGUAGCGUAAUUGUGAAUUAGAUGGGUGACAGACUUGCCUGUUGUGAUAUUCAUCUCUGUUUUGCAGGAGAAGGAAAGGGUAAAGAGGGUGGGCUUGCCAAAGGAACACUGCUAUACACAUAGUUCAAUGAAACAGAUUCUUCUUACUUUACAUGUAUAAUAUAUAUAUAUAUAUAUAUAUGUAUGUAUGUAUGUAUGUAUGUAUGUAUGUAUAUCCUGGGCUAGCUCUGGUUUUGUAUAAAACAGGUGGCCAAGGAAAACCUAUUAGGCUAUUCACAAUAGAUUGGAUUCGACGGGUGGCGUGUAUCGAUAAAAUCUAAUAAUUUUAGCAACUUGAUUAUUUA